CGCAUGUUAAUCCAGCCUAGAAUCCACUUAACACGAUUGUGGAUAACAACCUUCACUACUUGUGAAUAUAAGUUCAUAACGAUUAGGUGAAACUCCCUUAUAUUCUAGAAUCAAAUUCAUGCAUGAAAAUUAAGCGUGCACUCUUAAUCGACAUACACAAAUUAGUAAUCAAUCAAGCAGUUAAGCAAAUUAAAUCACAACUCAGAAAUCACAACUGAAGGUAAUCAAUUCAUAUUACAAAUAUAUUCAUGGCUUUGAAUUAACCUCUAGCCAAAAAGAAAUUAGUUCCACAUGUUUAACAUAAUUGAACAGCAAGUUAAAUUAAACAUGAACAUAGAAUUAAAAGAAGAAAGAAUUCCAAACACUCUAAUAGUUGCAGAUUGCAUAAGCACGGCACUACUCCUCCUCUCCUUCAAUGGUGGCGGCACAAGGUGGUUAUGGUGGUUGAAUGGUUGGUUAUAUGGAGAAAUGGAUGGGGAAGGUUUAGAUAUGUAGGGAGAGGCAAGGGAAGGCUUGGAGAAUGGUUAAUUUCUGGAUGAUUUGAAUGAGGUUGCUACCAUGGUAUUUAUAGGAAAAGGAUGGACUUGUUUAACACAAAAUUUUGGUGGAAUUGAGUAGGUGAGCAUGGCAAAGAGUGGGAAUUGUUGGUGGGUUAGGUAUUGAGUCAUCCAUUCACAUGUCAUGGUGAGUUAAGCAUUGCAUCAUCCACUCACAUGUCAUGGUGAUUUAAGCAUUGCAUCAUCACUCAAAUUUCUGGUGAAAGUGAAUCAAUGCCCACGGCAUUGAAGAAUUUCUUGGUUUUUGAGUGAAGUUUUGGUCAAUCCUUCUAGAAAUUUAUCCCUUCUUGCAACUUAUAUUUGUUUCACCAGAUUUUUAGCAUGUUCAUAGCCUCUUUUGUCUUCAAAUUCGUCCAUCCUCAUGCCUCCAUGCUUGCACAAUCCAAUCUUGGCCCAAAAAUGCUCUAGAAUGUUCCAAAUUGCUUCUUUUUUGCAUACUUUGACACUAAAACCUGAAAUUGCACGAAAAUAACUUUAAACACUAUAAUUAUCAUAGUUUAGCUAAUUAAAAGCAAGAAAACAAGCUAACUAAGUCGUAUAAAUAUGCUCCUAUCAAUUUCCCCCACACUUAGCUUUUGCUAGUCCUCGAGCAAAACAAAGAAAACAAGAACAAGUAGUAACAAGAAAAACAUUAGCUUCCCCCUAUGUGACCCUCAUAGAAUUUCAUUUGAGAACACAAAUCAACAAGAACCAUAGCUAGCACCAAACAAGCUAAUCCAAGUUCAUCUUCCUUAUUCAAAUAUUAGCAGUAAUCUUUAAAUCAUCCUUGAAGUGUAGUGUGUGAGAUAGCCAUGCUAAUGCAAUUUCAAAAAAAAAAUUUAUUUUUUAUUUUUUAAAAUCAUCAUAUGCAAACUAGCAACCUUCUCACGGGAUAUACACUCAAUUACACAUGUGUUUAGUUUAAAUGUGUUUCGCUCAAAGAAUCAAAUGUGAAAUUUCUACCAUAAGCUUGCAUAAAGAUCACUUCUCCACAGUCAUAAUUGUAAAACUUAAAUCAAGAGGACUUUUAUUGGAUGUAAUGAGGCUUAGGGAUAGGGUUAUUGAAACGAAAGAAUAGGAAAACACAAGUUCCAAGCUACAUUGCAAGCAAUUCUUUUGUUUAGAUUUAUAAGAACUCAAUCUUUCCAGCGAUUCUUCUAGCACCUCCAACCACACCCUUAAUUGAAACUUGAAAAACUUUUUAUUUUCUUUGUAUACAAUCUUUCUUUUUCUUUUCUUUUUUUUCUCUUUUUUUUUUUUUUUUUUUUUUUUUUUUUUAAAUACAAACAUGAAAUACCCCCACACUUAUUCUUUUGCCAAACACCUUCAAAGUACUUCACAAACAUUUCUCAUAAGACAAUCUCGCAUUGCUCGCUUGGAAAGGGUAAGGAAAAAUGUUUCAGGUAUAAGGGUAGACAUAUCUGGUGAUAAGAAAUAAAAGGCUCAACGUACACGGCUCAAAUUGGCAAUCUAAUGAUAUCAUUUUUCUUUGGGAAACAUGGUUAUUUGGGCCAUAGUGGUAAACCUAAUGCCUCUAUCAUUUCCAAAUUCAUGCAAUCAAUGACAAACAUUUCGAAAGAUCGUUAUGCAAGUUCUAGAGAUGUAUCUCACAUAAGUUCAUCACACAUGAAAGAAUAGGAGUGUAUGAAAAAUGCACACACUUUCAAUCGGCUCAAAAACUCACAUAAGAUGUAUAUGGUCACUAAAUUCACAUAUGAAGCUUUAAGUCAUACUUUAAUUUCACAUUAACAAGGCUAUGUGCAUUUGGUUUUUCAAAGAUGGUCAAACAUGUACAAAACUAACAAGAGAAUUAGGAAUUUCACAAAACACAUGUUAACUAAGUUCUUGAUGAUCAUGGUUCAAAUUUGAUCCAAUUAUAUCAUUGGGUCGGGAAACUAACAAAAAUCUAAUUCAAAAUAAUAAGGGAAACAAGACAAUAUUUUUGGAUUUUUUUUUUAAAUUUCCGAUUUUUUUUUUUUUAAUUUUUUUUUUUUUUUAAAAAGAAAACAAAACUAAUUAAGAAAACAAAAAGCAACAACAUGGAAACAAAUGAAACUCAUUCGUAGUUGAAGGUACAAAAAAAAAAUUCAAUUUGGUCAUUUUUAUACUCUUUACCCCCCCAAACUUAAACUGGACAUUGUCCCCAAUGUCAGAAAACACUAUAAUGCAAAUAAAAAU
rnacentral:lncRNA from 1 species